rnacentral:rRNA from 1 species
GAUGAACGCUGGCGGCGUGCUUAAUACAUGCAAGUCGAGCGGACGGACCAGGAGCUUGCGUUUCUGAUGUUGGCGGCGGGCGGGUCACUAACGCGUGGAUAACCUAGCUAUUAGACUGAGAUAACUUCGGCAGACCGUAGCUCAUACCGGGUGAUAUUUUGAACGGCAUGGUUCAAAAGUGAAAGACGGUCUUGCUGACCUUUAUGGAUGGAUCCGCGCUGCAUUAGCUAGUUGGUAAGGUAACGGCUUACCAAGGCGACGAUGCAUAGCCGACCUGAGAGGGGGAUCGGCGACACUGGGAGUGAAACACGGUCCAGACUCCUACGGGAGGCAGCAGUAGGGAAUCGUGGGCAAUGGGCGAAAGCCUGACGGAGCAACGCCGCGUGGGUGAUGAAGGUCUUCGGAUCGUAAAACUGGGUUAUUAGGGAAGAACAUAUGUGUAAGUAACUGAGCAAAUCUUGACGGUACCUAAUCAGAAAGCCACGGCUAACUACGUG